UACAUAGGGGGCAAGCGUUGUCCGGAUUUACUGGGCGUAAAGAGCUCGUAGGCGGUUUACCAAGUUAGAAGUGAAAUCUCCAGGCUUAACCUGGAGCGGCCUUUUAAAACUGGUAUGACUUGAGUAUGGUAGAGGAGUGUGGAAUUCCCGGUGUAGCGGUGAAAUGCGCAGAUAUCGGGAGGAACACCUAUGGCGAAGGCAGCACUCUGGGCCAAAACUGACGCUGAGGAGCGAAAGCGUGGGGAGCGAACAGG
rnacentral:rRNA from 1 species